rnacentral:rRNA from 1 species
GACGAACGCUGGCGGCGUGCUUAACACAUGCAAGUCGAGCGGUAAGGCCCUGCUUUGGUGGGGUACACGAGCGGCGAACGGGUGAGUAACACGUGGGUGACCUGCCUUCAGCUCCGGGAUAAGCUUGGGAAACUGGGUCUAAUACCGGAUAGGACCUUCUGGUGCAUGCCAGGGGGUGGAAAGAUUUUUCGGCUGGGGAUGGGCCCGCGGCCUAUCAGCUUGUUGGUGGGGUGAUGGCCUACCAAGGCGACGACGGGUAGCCGGCCUGAGAGGGCGU